ACUACCACAGACCUGAAUAUCCUUGAGGGUCAAAAACACUCAAGGAAAGCCCCAAAACCGCCAAGAAAAUAAAUAUUGGCGGCUAGCACUCAGGGAAUGGCCGCCAAGGGCAGAGAGACAAGGAAUAGCUAUUCCCUUGAGUGCUGGCCGCCACAAAUCAUUUCCUUGAGGGUUCAGCCGCCAAGGAAGCACAUAAGUGGUCAGGUUUUGAACAGCGCCAAGGAAAAGUAACAACACUCAAGGGUAUGCAUUUUCUUGAGGGCUGACGACACCCAAGGAAUAUGGUUAACCCCCAAGGAUAUAUAUUUGCUUGAGGGUUUGUUACCGCCAAGGUAUUUGUUGGCCCCCCAAGGAUAUAUAUAUUCUUGAGAGUUUGUUACCGCCAAGGUAUUUGUUGAGCCCUCAAGGAUAUACAUUUUCUUGAGAGUUAGUACCAUCAAGGUAACACAAAUGAACCGUCAAAAAAUAGGUUUAUCUGACACCCUCAAGGAAAAUCCUUGAGGAUUUUGAUCCCCAUUUGUGUUUCCUUGGCAGCUGACACUCAAGGUAAUGCAUGGUACAGAGGGUUAAUUGGCCAAGAAAAUAUUGAUCAUUCAUGGUAAAUGUAGACCGGAACAAAUAUUAGGAUAGAUGCCACAAUUAAACUAAACCAUUGCUAGAUUAGAUAACACAUUCAAUAUCCACUGGUUCAUUACAUGUCCAUUUUGCAAAUAUAAGUCUUAGGUAGCUAGCAACAGUGCAUCAUCCUACAUGUCAGCAGGAUAGCAGCACCUACACAAGGCAUAACAGCACCUACACGAGGCAAAUACUACACACACUUCAUAAGGCAAUGUUGCACUUAGCAAAAGAUCAG
rnacentral:lncRNA from 1 species